GAUAAACGCUGGCGGCGUGCAUAACACAUGCAAGUCGAACGAUGAAGAUUAAAAGAUUUCUUCGGAAUGAACUUAAUUGGAUUAGUGGCGGACGGGUGAGUAACGCGUGAGUAACCUGCCUUGUACAAGGGGAUAGCCGUUGGAAACGACGAAUAAUACCCUAUGACAUCAAAUAAUCGCAUGAUAAUUUGAUCAAAGAUUUAUCGGUAUAAGAUGGACUCGCGUCUGAUUAGCUAGUUGGUAGAGUAAAAGCCUACCAAGGCAACGAUCAGUAGCCGGCUUGAGAGAGUGUACGGCCACAUUGGGACUGAGACACGGCCCAGACUCCUACGGGAGGCAGCAGUGGGGAAUUUUGCACAAUGGGGGAAACCCUGAUGCAGCGACGCCGCGUGAUUUAGAAGGCCUUCGAGUUGUAAAAAUCUUUUGUAUGGGAAGAAAAUGACAGUACCAUACGAAUAAGGACCGGCUAAUUACGUG
rnacentral:rRNA from 1 species